rnacentral:rRNA from 1 species
AAACCAACAGGGAUUGCCUCAGUAACGGCGAGUGAAGCGGCAAAAGCUCAAAUUUGAAAUCUGGCUCUUUCAGGGUCCGAGUUGUAAUUUGUAGAAGAUGCUUUGGGUGUGGCUCUGGUUUAAGUUCUUUGGAAUAUUACAUCAUAGAGGGUGAGAAUCCCGUAUGUGACCAGUCGCCGCGCCCGUGUAAAGCUCUUUCAACGAGUCGAGUUGUUUGGGAAUGCAGCUCAAAAUGGGAGGUAUAUUUCUUCUAAAGCUAAAUAUUGGCCAGAGACCGAUAGCGCACAAGUAGAGUGAUCGAAAGAUGAAAAGCACUUUGGAAAGAGAGUUAAACAGUACGUGAAAUUGUUGAAAGGGAAGCGCUUGCAACCAGACUUGCACGCGGUUGAUCAUCCGGGGUUCUCCCCGGGGCACUCUGCCGCGUUCAGGCCAGCAUCGUUUUUGGUGGUUGGAUAAAGGCCUUGGGAAUGUAGCUUCUUUCGGGGAGUGUUAUAGCCCUCGGUGCAAUGCAGCCUACCGGGAACGAGGACCGCGCUUCGGCUAGGAUGCUGGCGUAAUGGUUGUAAGCGGC